GAUGAUGACAACGAUGACGAUAGUGGCAAUCAUUUAUUAAGCAUUGCCCUGGCCUAAGACACCACAUGGGUCAUUUCUUCCAGGCUCCAACUUGCUUCUGCUUUGCCAUAUGGUAACACGCCGUAUUAUGGAAGCACCAUCAUUACCGCCAUUUGCAGGGGAAGCCUAAAGAGAUAAAUGCCAGCCAGCAUCCCUGUCUCUGGGGCCCUGGAGAGGCCUUCAACACACCUGGCCUCACUGCCCUGUGGCUUCAACAAAGAGGCCGAGCAUCUCCUAUAAACCUUGAGGUCCAUGGAUGACAUAGCGGAAUGAUGGAUUUCAGAAAAGCACACUGCUGUUACGACUCCAGAACCGAUAAGGAAGCUAUGUGUGGAAGUAUGAGCUCAGGUCGCCUUCUGACCCUCUGUGACGGUCUAUUUCAGGCAGUUAUGGAUAGAUAACAUUACAGACACUGGUAAUUAAAACAACACUAAUUUUGUCUCUGUGGUCACGCUUUGUUGUUAGAAGCCAUCUAUCAUGGCCUUCACGCAUCACGCAAUGAGAAGACAUUUGUCUACGUACAUUGUGCUUGGUCAACGGUUUUACGGAUUUCCCCGCGUACCUGGACACCCAGGCACUUUUAAAGACGUACUGCCUUCAUUUCUACUCUAUUACUCUGAUUAAUAAAACAUUUUGCAUGCUUCAUCAAAACA
rnacentral:lncRNA from 1 species